rnacentral:RNase_P_RNA from 1 species
UUGGAAGGUUAAAAGGAUCACUUAGAAUAUAUCUUAUGAACAAAAAAAUUUGUGGAGAUUAAAAAUAUUAAAUAUAAAGAAAAUAUAAAAAAUAAAAAUUAGAAUAAAAAUAUCUAACACCUAAGUAUGUUCUCGCGUUCGUCUAAGCGAACGCUUGUUUAUUUUAAUAAAUAAAUGUAAAAUCAAAACUCCUAUAUGAUCUUAUGAAUAUUUUAUAGAUAAUUCAGAAAACUAUUAUUAUUUAAUAAAAAAUAUUAUAAUAAUAUUUUUAUCGAAUAAAUUAAAUAGUUUUUUAUUAAUAGAAUAGUAUUUUACUAAAUUUUUCCUAU